rnacentral:rRNA from 1 species
UACAGAGGGGGCAAGCGUUAUUCGGAAUUAUUGGGCGUAAAGGGCGCGUAGGCGGCCUGGCAAGUGGAUGGUGAAAUCCCUCGGCUUAACCGAGGAACUGCCAUCCAGACUGCUUGGCUUGAGACCGGGAGAGGUGAGUGGAAUUCCCAGUGUAGCGGUGAAAUGCGUAGAUAUCUGGAGGAACACCGGUGGCGAAGGCGGCGUCCUGGACCAAUACUGACACUGAGGAGCGAAAGCCAGGGGAGCAAACGGG